UACGUAGGGUGCGAGCGUUAUCCGGAAUUAUUGGGCGUAAAGAGCUCGUAGGCGGUUUGUCACGUCUGCUGUGAAAACUGGAGGCUCAACCUCGGCCUGCAGUGGGUACGGGCAGACUAGAGUGCGGUAGGGGAGAUUGGAAUCCUGGUGUAGCGGUGGAAUGCGCAGAUAUCAGGAGGAACACCAAUGGCGAAGGCAGAUCUCUGGGCCGUAACUGACGCUGAGGAGCGAAAGCAUGGGGAGCGAACAGG
rnacentral:rRNA from 1 species